rnacentral:rRNA from 1 species
GGUUAAGCGACUAAGCGUACACGGUGGAUGCCCUGGCAGUCAGAGGCGAUGAAGGACGUGCUAAUCUGCGAAAAGCGUCGGUAAGGUGAUAUGAACCGUUAUAACCGGCGAUGUCCGAAUGGGGAAACCCAGUGCAAUUCGUUGCACUAUCGUUAACUGAAUACAUAGGUUAACGAGGCGAACCGGGGGAACUGAAACAUCUAAGUACCCCGAGGAAAAGAAAUCAACCGAGAUUCCCCCAGUAGCGGCGAGCGAACGGGGAGCAGCCCAGAGUCUGAAUCAGCUUGUGUGUUAGUGGAACGGUCUGGAAAGUCCGACGGUACAGGGUGAUAGUCCCGUACACCAAAAUGCACAGGUUGUGAACUCGAAGAGUAGGGCGGGACACGUGGUAUCCUGUCUGAAUAUGGGGGGACCAUCCUCCAAGGCUAAAUACUCCUGACUGACCGAUAGUGAACCAGUACCGUGAGGGAAAGGCGAAAAGAACCCCGGCGAGGGGAGUGAAAAAGAACCUGAAACCGUGUACGUACAAGCAGUGGGAGCACCUUCGGGUGUGACUGCGUACCUUUUGUAUAAUGGGUCAGCGACUUAUAUUCUGUAGCAAGGUUAACCGUAUAGGGGAGCCGCAGGGAAACCGAGUCUUAACUGGGCGUUAAGUUGCAGGGUAUAGACCCGAAACCCGGUGAUCUAGCCAUGGGCAGGUUGAAGGUUGGGUAACACUAACUGGAGGACCGAACCGACUAAUGUUGAAAAAUUAGCGGAUGACUUGUGGCUGGGGGUGAAAGGCCAAUCAAACCGGGAGAUAGCUGGUUCUCCCCGAAAGCUAUUUAGGUAGCGCCUCGUGAACUCAUCUUCGGGGGUAGAGCACUGUUUCGGCUAGGGGGUCAUCCCGACUUACCAACCCGAUGCAAACUACGAAUACCGAAGAAUGUUAUCACGGGAGACACACGGCGGGUGCUAACGUCCGUCGUGAAGAGGGAAACAACCCAGACCGCCAGCUAAGGUCCCAAAGUCAUGGUUAAGUGGGAAACGAUGUGGGAAGGCACAGACAGCCAGGAUGUUGGCUUAGAAGCAGCCAUCAUUUAAAGAAAGCGUAAUAGCUCACUGGUCGAGUCGGCCUGCGCGGAAGAUGUAACGGGGCUAAACCAUGCACCGAAGCUGCGGCAGCGACACUAUGUGUUGUUGGGUAGGGGAGCGUUCUGUAAGCCUGCGAAGGUGUGCUGUGAGGCAUGCUGGAGGUAUCAGAAGUGCGAAUGCUGACAUAAGUAACGAUAAAGCGGGUGAAAAGCCCGCUCGCCGGAAGACCAAGGGUUCCUGUCCAACGUUAAUCGGGGCAGGGUGAGUCGACCCCUAAGGCGAGGCCGAAAGGCGUAGUCGAUGGGAAACAGGUUAAUAUUCCUGUACUUGGUGUUACUGCGAAGGGGGGACGGAGAAGGCUAUGUUAGCCGGGCGACGGUUGUCCCGGUUUAAGCAUGUAGGCUGGUUGUCCAGGCAAAUCCGGAUAAUCAAGGCUGAGGUGUGAUGACGAGGCACUACGGUGCUGAAGUAACAAAUGCCCUGCUUCCAGGAAAAGCCUCUAAGCAUCAGGUAACAUCAAAUCGUACCCCAAACCGACACAGGUGGUCAGGUAGAGAAUACCAAGGCGCUUGAGAGAACUCGGGUGAAGGAACUAGGCAAAAUGGUGCCGUAACUUCGGGAGAAGGCACGCUGGUGUGUAGGUGAAGUCCCUGCGGAUGGAGCUGAGACCAGUCGAAGAUACCAGCUGGCUGCAACUGUUUAUUAAAAACACAGCACUGUGCAAACACGAAAGUGGACGUAUACGGUGUGACGCCUGCCCGGUGCCGGAAGGUUAAUUGAUGGGGUUAUCCGUAAGGAGAAGCUCUUGAUCGAAGCCCCGGUAAACGGCGGCCGUAACUAUAACGGUCCUAAGGUAGCGAAAUUCCUUGUCGGGUAAGUUCCGACCUGCACGAAUGGCGUAAUGAUGGCCAGGCUGUCUCCACCCGAGACUCAGUGAAAUUGAACUCGCUGUGAAGAUGCAGUGUACCCGCGGCAAGACGGAAAGACCCCGUGAACCUUUACUAUAGCUUGACACUGAACAUUGAGCCUUGAUGUGUAGGAUAGGUGGGAGGCUUUGAAGCGUGGACGCCAGUCUGCGUGGAGCCAACCUUGAAAUACCACCCUUUAAUGUUUGAUGUUCUAACGUUGGCCCCU